rnacentral:misc_RNA from 1 species
AAACUGCGAUAAGUAGCGUGAAUUGCAGACGCUUUGAACGUUAAACUUUCGAACGCACAUUGCGCCGUGGGAGUCUUACCCCACGGCACAUCUGGUUGAGGGUCGUGAUCAAAGAAACAGCUAGACAGGGGCUAAUGGCUGUAAUAGAGCAAAUUGAUGAAUCAUGACUCCGACGACUGCCUUUCGUCGGACGUGUUUUGUCAUUGCGCUUAUAGAGAAUACCUCUAGCGGUAUUCUGCCACACGGAUGCCCAAUCGACUGUGACAUGGGCCACUCCGGACGUGUAUCUUACUACGAUUUUGUAUAUAUACGUCCGUUCUGAGUGGUGCGGUCGUGUUGUUAGCAUACGUGCCUGGCGUAAAAUCGUUUUCCCGACCUCAACUCAGGUGUGAUUACCCGCUGAACUUAAGC